rnacentral:lncRNA from 1 species
CUAUAUACUCCACUCCUUUUUACCUUGAUGGUAUUCCAUGCAGGUUCUUAUACUGCACCCAAGACUGUGGUGUCUGAACACCUCAUACAGCUAAGCACCCAUCAAGAACAAGACCUAAGCCUAGCCUUCAGUGUGGUUUUGCUUGUGCUCCAAGGAGCCGACGGAGAGAGGGAGUGGAGAAGCCGGCUGAAACUAUCCCUGCUGCCCCGGCAGGAUGACCAGCUGAGCUGGGAAAGACAAGGAAGCACGCGCAAGUGACUAGAAAAACAGAAUCUCGCCCUAAUCAGCCCUGUAUCAUCACUAUGUCUGCAAGUGACAACUCAUCACUGUUCAAAAAUUAUCUGAAGAAGAUUGUUAAAAAGGAUGAAUAAUACUGGACACUUACCUUGAAAAUUGACUCCAGCUGCUUUCCCGGGGUGAUAACUUUUGUUAUGUGUUUAUGGUUUCUUAUGAAGAAUUUUCUUGUUCAGGCAACAAAAACAAGUUGCUCAAAUUUUUUCAUUAGCACUUCCACUGCCACAGGCUUGGGCAAAAUAUAUUUUGUACCUUCAAUGGUAAAUUUUUAUUGCAGCAACCUAUGGGUUUUAUAUACAGAUAUGAAAGUUUAACAACAUGAAAAUGUUUAGAGAACUGAAGAUACAUCCAAGAAGAACGAGGUUACUGCAUUUCUGAUUACUUCUACUGUAUGCUGGCAUUAUAGCGGCUGUAAAGAAGGCAGUUGCAUCUGAGCUGAAAUGCAGGAUCAACAACCAGGAGUCUUUACUGGAAAUGUUUGAAGAUGUGUGAUGUUUCAUUCCUGUGUCCACACAAGGUGGAACAAAGGCAAAGCAGGGCAAGACUAAAGGUGUAGCUGCUCACCAGAAAAUAGCUGAGUUCCAUAGACGCUACUGCCCUUUCUUGUCCAGUUACAGACUGGAGAUGCAUCUCAUUCUUUACAUGUAACUCCUGAAGGAUACAGCCAAAUAGCAUCUGGGUCCAUCUGUCCUCAGAAGGAAGUGCAGGAGGAGCUGAGAGAGAUCCCUGAAGUGUCAAACAUGCUGCCACCUCUGGAACAUGCAAGAUAUAAAAUGGGUUUGACUACGUCAUCAUCCCAAAACACAGGUACUUACUAGUUUGUAUGCCAUCCAUAUAAUAACAAUGUUGACGUUUCAG